UGUUAAAAAUUUCAUCCAUUUGUAUUGUUAAAAACUGAUGUGACUGAUAGAAUAACUAGACAAUAAUACGUGGAGUGCCGCAUAGACCUCAUUUUGACGUAUAGGAAUCAAAUUUUAACCAUAGAAAUAGAUAAAAUUUUUAAUA
rfam:Gossypium hirsutum cultivar TM-1 chromosome 26, whole genome shotgun sequence